GAGUUUGAUCCUGGCUCAUGAUGAACGCUAGCGACAGGCCUAACACAUGCAAGUCGAGGGGGCAGCGGGGAGGUAGCAAUACCUUUGCCGGCGACCGGCGCACGGGUGAGUAACACGUAUGCAAUCCACCUGUAACAGGGGGGAUAACCCGGAGAAAUCCGGGACUAAUACCCCAUAAUAUGGGGCGCUCCGCAUGGAGAGUUCAUUAAAGAGAGCAAUUUUGGUUACAGACGAGCAUGCGCUCCA
rnacentral:rRNA from 1 species